rnacentral:rRNA from 1 species
UUAAGCGACUAAGCGUACACGGUGGAUGCCCUGGCAGUCAGAGGCGAUGAAGGACGUGCUAAUCUGCGAAAAGCGACGGCGAGGUGAUAUGAACCCUUGACCCGGCGAUGUCCGAAUGGGGAAACCCAGUGUGUUCCGACACACUAUCGUUAACUGAAUACAUAGGUUAACGAGGCGAACCGGGGGAACUGAAACAUCUAAGUACCCCGAGGAAAAGAAAUCAACCGAGAUUCCCCCAGUAGCGGCGAGCGAACGGGGAGCAGCCCGGAGUCUGAAUCAGCUUGUGUGUUAGUGGAACGGUCUGGAAAGUCCGACGGUACAGGGUGAUAGUCCCGUACACGAAAAUGCACAGGUUGUGAACUCGAAGAGUAGGGCGGGACACGUGGUAUCCUGUCUGAAUAUGGGGGGACCAUCCUCCAAGGCUAAAUACUCCUGACUGACCGAUAGUGAACCAGUACCGUGAGGGAAAGGCGAAAAGAACCCCGGCGAGGGGAGUGAAAAAGAACCUGAAACCGUGUACGUACAAGCAGUGGGAGCNGUGACUGCGUACCUUUUGUAUAAUGGGUCAGCGACUUAUAUUCUGUAGCAAGGUUAACCGUAUAGGGGAGCCGAAGGGAAACCGAGUCUUAACUGGGCGUUAAGUUGCAGGGUAUAGACCCGAAACCCGGUGAUCUAGCCAUGGGCAGGUUGAAGGUUGGGUAACACUAACUGGAGGACCGAACCGACUAAUGUUGAAAAAUUAGCGGAUGACCUGUGGCUGGGGGUGAAAGGCCAAUCAAACCGGGAGAUAGCUGGUUCUCCCCGAAAGCUAUUUAGGUAGCGCCUCGUGAACUCAUCUUCGGGGGUAGAGCACUGUUUCGGCUAGGGGGCCAUCCCGGCUUACCAACCCGAUGCAAACUACGAAUACCGAAGAAUGUUAUCACGGGAGACACACGGCGGGUGCUAACGUCCGUCGUGAAGAGGGAAACAACCCAGACCGCCAGCUAAGGUCCCAAAGUCAUGGUUAAGUGGGAAACGAUGUGGGAAGGCACAGACAGCCAGGAUGUUGGCUUAGAAGCAGCCAUCAUUUAAAGAAAGCGUAAUAGCUCACUGGUCGAGUCGGCCUGCGCGGAAGAUGUAACGGGGCUAAACCAUGCACCGAAGCUGCGGCAGCGACACUAUGUGUUGUUGGGUAGGGGAGCGUUCUGUAAGCCGUUGAAGGUGUGCUGUGAGGCAUGCUGGAGGUAUCAGAAGUGCGAAUGCUGACAUAAGUAACGAUAAAGCGGGUGAAAAGCCCGCUCGCCGGAAGACCAAGGGUUCCUGUCCAACGUUAAUCGGGGCAGGGUGAGUCGACCCCUAAGGCGAGGCCGAAAGGCGUAGUCGAUGGGAAACAGGUUAAUAUUCCUGUACUUGGUGUUACUGCGAAGGGGGGACGGAGAAGGCUAUGUCAGCCGGGCGACGGUUGUCCCGGUUUAAGCAUGUAGGCGGAGGUUCCAGGUAAAUCCGGUACCUUAUUAACGCUGAGGUGUGAUGACGAGGCACUACGGUGCUGAAGUGAUAAAUGCCCUGCUUCCAGGAAAAGCCUCUAAGCAUCAGGUAACACGAAAUCGUACCCCAAACCGACACAGGUGGUCAGGUAGAGAAUACCAAGGCGCUUGAGAGAACUCGGGUGAAGGAACUAGGCAAAAUGGUGCCGUAACUUCGGGAGAAGGCACGCUGAUAUGUAGGUGAAGCCCCUGCGGGCGGAGCUGAAAUCAGUCGAAGAUACCAGCUGGCUGCAACUGUUUAUUAAAAACACAGCACUGUGCAAACACGAAAGUGGACGUAUACGGUGUGACGCCUGCCCGGUGCCGGAAGGUUAAUUGAUGGGGUUAGCGGCAACGCGAAGCUCUUGAUCGAAGCCCCGGUAAACGGCGGCCGUAACUAUAACGGUCCUAAGGUAGCGAAAUUCCUUGUCGGGUAAGUUCCGACCUGCACGAAUGGCGUAAUGAUGGCCAGGCUGUCUCCACCCGAGACUCAGUGAAAUUGAACUCGCUGUGAAGAUGCAGUGUACCCGCGGCAAGACGGAAAGACCCCGUGAACCUUUACUAUAGCUUGACACUGAACACUGGUCCUUGAUGUGUAGGAUAGGUGGGAGGCUUUGAAGCGUGGACGCCAGUCUGCGUGGAGCCNNAUCCGGGUUGCGGACAGUGUCUGGUGGGUAGUUUGACUGGGGCGGUCUCCUCCCAAAGAGUAACGGAGGAGCACGAAGGUUGGCUAAUCCUGGUCGGACAUCAGGAGGUUAGUGCAAUGGCAUAAGCCAGCUUGACUGCGAGCGUGACGGCGCGAGCAGGUGCGAAAGCAGGUCAUAGUGAUCCGGUGGUUCUGAAUGGAAGGGCCAUCGCUCAACGGAUAAAAGGUACUCCGGGGAUAACAGGCUGAUACCGCCCAAGAGUUCAUAUCGACGGCGGUGUUUGGCACCUCGAUGUCGGCUCAUCACAUCCUGGGGCUGAAGUAGGUCCCAAGGGUAUGGCUGUUCGCCAUUUAAAGUGGUACGCGAGCUGGGUUUAGAACGUCGUGAGACAGUUCGGUCCCUAUCUGCCGUGGGCGCUGGAGAAUUGAGGGGGGCUGCUCCUAGUACGAGAGGACCGGAGUGGACGCAUCACUGGUGUUCGGGUUGUCAUGCCAAUGGCACUGCCCGGUAGCUAAAUGCGGAAGAGAUAAGUGCUGAAAGCAUCUAAGCACGAAACUUGCCCCGAGAUGAGUUCUCCCUGAGACUUUAAGUCUCCUGAAGGAACGUUGAAGACGACGACGUUGAUAGGUCGGGUGUGUAAGCGCAGCGAUGCGUUGAGCUAACCGAUACUAAUGAACCGUGAGGCUUAACCUU